GACGAACGCUGGCGGCGUGCCUAAUACAUGCAAGUUGAGCGAUGAAGAUUGGUGCUUGCGCCAAUUUGAAGAGCAGCGAACGGGUGAGUAACGCGUGGGGAAUCUGCCUUUGAGCGGGGGACAACAUUUGGAAACGAAUGCUAAUACCGCAUAACAACUUUAAACAUAAGUUUUAAGUUUGAAAGAUGCAAUUGCAUCACUCAAAGAUGAUCCCGCGUUGUAUUAGCUAGUUGGUGAGGUAAAGGCUCACCAAGGCGAUGAUACAUAGCCGACCUGAGAGGGUGAUCGGCCACAUUGGGACUGAGACACGGCCCAAACUCCUACGGGAGGCAGCAGUAGGGAAUCUUCGGCAAUGGACGAAAGUCUGACCGAGCAACGCCGCGUGAGUGAAGAAGGUUUUCGGAUCGUAAAACUCUGUUGGUAGAGAAGAACGUUGGUGAGAGUGGGAAGCUCAUCAAGUGACGGUAACUACCCAGAAAGGGACGGCUAACUACGUG
rnacentral:rRNA from 1 species